rnacentral:rRNA from 1 species
GACGAACGCUGGCGGCGUGCUUAACACAUGCAAGUCGAACGGAAAGGCCCUGCUUGCAGGGUACUCGAGUGGCGAACGGGUGAGUAACACGUGGGUGAUCUGCCCUGCACUUCGGGAUAAGCCUGGGAAACUGGGUCUAAUACCGGAUAGGAGCCAUUUUUAGUGUGAUGGUUGGAAAGUUUUUUCGGUGUAGGAUGAGCUCGCGGCCUAUCAGCUUGUUGGUGGGGUAAUGGCCUACCAAGGCGGCGACGGGUAGCCGGCCUGAGAGGGUGGACGGCCACAUUGGGACUGAGGUACGGCCCAGACUCCUACGGGAGGCAGAAGUGGGGAAUAUUGCACAAUGGGCGCAAGCCUGAUGCAGCGACGCCGCGGGGGGGAUGACGGCCUUCGGGUUGUAAACGCCUUUCGCUAGGGACGAAGCUUUUUGUGACGGUACCUAGAUAAGAAGCACCGGCUAACUACGUG